UACGUAGGUGGCAAGCGUUGUCCGAAUUUAUUGGGUUUAAAGGGUGCGUAGGUGGUCUAUUAAGUCAGUGCUGAAAUAUCCCGGCUUAACCGGGAGGGUGGCAUUGAUACUGAUGGACUUGAGUGGAGUUGAGGUAGGCGGAAUUGACGGUGUAGCGGUGAAAUGCUUAGAUAUCGUCAAGAACACCAAUAGCGAAGGCAGCUUACUAAGCUCUAACUGACACUGAUGCACGAAAGUGUGGGGAUCAAACAGG
rnacentral:rRNA from 1 species